AUUGAACGCUGGCGGCAGGCUUAACACAUGCAAGUCGAACGAGUGGCGGACGGGUGAGUAAUGCUUGGGAAUCUAGCUUAUGGAGGGGGAUAACUACGGGAAACUGUAGCUAAUACCGCAUACCAUAGGAUGAGCCCAAGUGGGAGUAGGUAGUUGGUGAGGUAAAGGCUCACCCAGCCGACGAUCGCUAGCUGGUCUGAGAGGAUGACCAGCCACACUGGGAAUGAGACACGGCCCAGACUCCUAAGGGAGGCAGCAGGGGGGAAUAUUGCGCAAUGGGGGCAAACUGAAGCAGCCAUGCCGCGGGAAUGAAGAAGGGCUUCGGGUUGUAAAGCUCGUUAAGCGGGAAGACGGUACCGGAAGAGAAAGCAACGGCUAACUACGUGCCAGCAGCCGCGGGAAUAC
rnacentral:rRNA from 1 species